rnacentral:lncRNA from 12 species
CGGGGAGGGAUGGAGGGAGGGAUGAGGGGAUGGAUGGAUGGAUGAGUGGAGGGAUGCAUGGAGGAAUGGAGGGAUGGAUGGAUGCAUGGAGGGAUGGAGGGAAGGAUGGAAGGAGGGAUGGAGAGAUGUGGGAGAAGGGCCUGGCGGGAUCCCGGGAUCCGGCGCUGCCUCUGCCGUGCAGUGCCCGGCUCUGCGUCCCUGCAAGGUCUCCUUCCUCCUUUGGGAAGUAACUUCUCUCUUUUGGUCUCUCCUGCUGCCAUUAACGUGACCCUGGGGCCGUGUCCCAGCCGAGGGGAGCUGGGGGUCGCUGUCCCUGCCCCCCUGGCCGCUCACCCUCCUCGGGAUGCUUGGCUGAGGCAGGGCCAGGCUGAAGAUCUGUGCACAGCCACGUGUCAGAGCUGCUGCAGUGCCGGGAAAAGGGCUCCAGGCACAUCCUGGGUGUGAGUGAUGGAUGUGGCACAGAAGAGGAACAGGAGAGCUCUGCCAGGACCCCUGAGUUUGCAGCGUGGAUUUGAAUGCAUUGCUGGCUCUGGGAUUUAUAUGGAGCAAUUGUCCCAUUAGUCUCAGUGGGUGAAAUCCUGAUCUCGGCGGCCUGAGUACCAAAAACGCUGUGACUUCAAGGAGCUCAUUUUUUACUCCAAAGGACUCAUGCAACUCACUUGUAUUUUUUAUUAAUUCUACUGGGUCUGUUUUAUUUAACCAUCACUAAAAGCCUCUCUCCCUUCAUUAACGGGGCAAUUCAUUAUUUGUGAGGGUAGAGAAUAUCCCUUUUUCACUCUAGGAGUGCAGAGGUUUGAAAACAUGAUUAUGCAGGGGGGUCGUGGCACUAGUUCUUUGGCUGUGUGAGAGGUUAGUUACUCAGAAGUAACUGCAAAGUUCCUGCUGCUCGACUUUCCACAGAUUUGUUUCUCCAGGCUCCUCCCUUUGUUUAUGGUGGCUUCUCCAAACAAAAUACCCACAAACUCAAA